rnacentral:rRNA from 1 species
ACGUUAAUCGGGGCAGGGUGAGUCGACCCCUAAGGCGAGGCCGAAAGGCGUAGUCGAUGGGAAACAGGUUAAUAUUCCUGUACUUGGUGUUACUGCGAAGGGGGGACGGAGAAGGCUAUGUUGGCCGGGCGACGGUUGUCCCGGUUUAAGCGUGUAGGCUGGUUUUCCAGGCAAAUCCGGAAAAUCAAGGCUGAGGCGUGAUGACGAGGCACUACGGUGCUGAAGCAACAAAUGCCCUGCUUCCAGGAAAAGCCUCUAAGCAUCAGGUAACAUCAAAUCGUACCCCAAACCGACACAGGUGGUCAGGUAGAGAAUACCAAGGCGCUUGAGAGAACUCGGGUGAAGGAACUAGGCAAAAUGGUGCCGUAACUUCGGGAGAAGGCACGCUGAUAUGUAGGUGAAGCGACUUGCUCGUGGAGCUGAAAUCAGUCGAAGAUACCAGCUGGCUGCAACUGUUUAUUAAAAACACAGCACUGUGCAAACACGAAAGUGGACGUAUACGGUGUGACGCCUGCCCGGUGCCGGAAGGUUAAUUGAUGGGGUUAGCGCAAGCGAAGCUCUUGAUCGAAGCCCCGGUAAACGGCGGCCGUAACUAUAACGGUCCUAAGGUAGCGAAAUUCCUUGUCGGGUAAGUUCCGACCUGCACGAAUGGCGUAAUGAUGGCCAGGCUGUCUCCACCCGAGACUCAGUGAAAUUGAACUCGCUGUGAAGAUGCAGUGUACCCGCGGCAAGACGGAAAGACCCCGUGAACCUUUACUAUAGCUUGACACUGAACAUUGAGCCUUGAUGUGUAGGAUAGGUGGGAGGCUUUGAAGUGUGGACGCCAGUCUGCAUGGAGCCGACCUUGAAAUACCACCCUUUAAUGUUUGAUGUUCUAACGUGGACCCGUAAUCCGGGUUGCGGACAGUGUCUGGUGGGUAGUUUGACUGGGGCGGUCUCCUCCUAAAGAGUAACGGAGGAGCACGAAGGUUGGCUAAUCCUGGUCGGACAUCAGGAGGUUAGUGCAAUGGCAUAAGCCAGCUUGACUGCGAGCGUGACGGCGCGAGCAGGUGCGAAAGCAGGUCAUAGUGAUCCGGUGGUUCUGAAUGGAAGGGCCAUCGCUCAACGGAUAAAAGGUACUCCGGGGAUAACAGGCUGAUACCGCCCAAGAGUUCAUAUCGACGGCGGUGUUUGGCACCUCGAUGUCGGCUCAUCACAUCCUGGGGCUGAAGUAGGUCCCAAGGGUAUGGCUGUUCGCCAUUUAAAGUGGUACGCGAGCUGGGUUUAGAACGUCGUGAGACAGUUCGGUCCCUAUCUGCCGUGGGCGCUGGAGAACUGAGGGGGGCUGCUCCUAGUACGAGAGGACCGGAGUGGACGCAUCACUGGUGUUCGGGUUGUCAUGCCAAUGGCACUGCCCGGUAGCUAAAUGCGGAAGAGAUAAGUGCUGAAAGCAUCUAAGCACGAAACUUGCCCCGAGAUGAGUUCUCCCUGACUCCUUGAGAGUCCUGAAGGAACGUUGAAGACGACGACGUUGAUAGGCCGGGUGUGUAAGCGCAGCGAUGCGUUGAGCUAACCGGUACUAAUGAACCGUGAG